CUCAUUGAUGCCGAUGGAAAUUGGUUCUGAGGCUUAACUUCAUAGGAGUACAUAGCCAUAUUUCAAGAACUACAUUUCCCACAAUGCUGUACAAAAGUCAGUUUUCUGCUUCUCUCACGUGAGUGCAAAUACCCGACCCUUUUGCCCAACAUGCCUCUCGAAAUGGACUCUACUUCCCGUGAUGCGCUGCUCCCGGUUACGGGAGCCGACGGGAGGCGUCUCCCAUCAGGGCGCGAAUGCCACUAGCAACGAACAAGAAUUGCCCGGCUGUGCUGGGCCUCCGGCAGCGAAAAACACUCAGAGUGGCGAGUGCUCCUGUCUUGGCUCCCUCCAUCCGCGCGAGUCCCAGGCGGUUCUGGAGCCCCCUCGCCUUCGUCACUUUCCUAAGCUUUGCUACGCGUUUCUACCGCCUGCGGGAGCCGCCGCACAUCUGCUGGGAUGAAACACAUUUUGGAAAGAUGGGGAGUUAUUAUAUUAACCGGACAUUUUUCUUUGAUGUCCAUCCACCUUUGGGGAAGAUGUUAAUAGGACUUGCUGGCUAUCUGAGUGGCUAUGAUGGGACUUUUCCUUUCCAGAAGCCUGGGGACAAAUAUGAACAACAUAACUAUAUAGGAAUGAGAGCAUUCAGUGCCUUCCUUGGUUCAUGUCUGAUCCCCUUCUGCUACCUCACUGUGCUGGAGCUGUCCAGAUCAUUGCCUGCAGCAAUAAUCACUGCUACCAUCCUGAUUUUUGACACUGGAUUCAUUACAAUCUCACAGUACAUUCUUCUUGACCCCAUUUUGAUGUUCUUCCUCAUGGGAGCUGUACUCAGUAUGGUUAAAUAUAAUUCCUAUUCAGAUAGAUGCUUUUCUGCCCCCUGGUGGUUCUGGCUGUGUUUGACUGGGGUGAACCUCGCUGGUGCAUUGGGGGUGAAAUUUGUUGGCCUUUUUGUUGUCUUUCUGGUUGGCCUGAAUACUAUCUGUGAACUUUGGCAGUUAUUGGGAGACCUUAGUCUAUCACUGGUCACACUGGGAAAGCACUUCUUGGCUCGUGUACUUUGCCUCAUUAUACUGCCUCUUGUCCUCUAUACAGCUCUUUUUGCAGUUCAUUUUGCAGUGUUAAACAGAAGUGGACCUGGUGAUGGUUUUUUCAGCUCUGGAUUUCAAUCCCGGCUCAUUGGAAACAAUCUUCAUAAUGUUUCUGUUCCAGAAUAUGUAGCAUAUGGCUCUGUGAUAACACUGAAAAACCUUCGCAUGGCAGGAGGAUACCUUCACUCCCACUGGCACCUGUAUCCUGAAGGAGUGGGAGCAAGGCAGCAGCAGGUCACUGCAUAUUUACACAAAGACUUGAAUAACUUAUGGAUUAUAAAGAAAUAUAACUUGAAUAGAGAUUAUUCAGACCUUUCCUUCCCUGUGGAGUUUGUGAAACAUGGAGAUAUUAUCUGUCUGGAACACAAAGAGACAUCAAGAAAUCUGCACAGUCAUCAGCAUGAAGCCCCCUUGACAAGGAAACAUCUCCAGGUGACUGGAUAUGGCAUUAAUGGAACUGGAGACUCCAAUGAUUUCUGGCGAAUUGAAGUUGUAGGAAGAAAGGAUGGGAAACGUAUCAAAGUCCUGCGCAGUCAAAUACGAUUGAUUCAUCUAGCAACAGCCUGUAUCUUGGGCUCGACUGGAAAGACACUACCCAAAUGGGGCUGGGAACAAGUGGAAGUCACUUGCACUCCAUAUCAGAAGGAAACUCCAAAUACUCUUUGGAAUAUUGAAGAUCACGUUAAUUCCAGAUUGCCCAAUAUCAGUUUGGAUGUUUUGAAACCUUCCUUUCCAGAAAUACUGCUGGAAUCUCACAUGGUUAUGAUCCGGGGAAAUAGUGUCCUUAAACCAAAGGAGAAUGAAGUCACAUCAAAACCCUGGCAUUGGCCAAUCAAUUACCAGGGUCUGCGUUUUUCUGGUGUCAAUGAAACAGAUUAUAGAGUUUAUUUGCUUGGAAACCCGGUGAUUUGGUGGAUGAGUCUAAUUGCUAUUGGAUUAUAUCUUACAAUGAUAAUAUUUAUAUCAGUGGUUGUGAAGCGAGGAGUUCAGCUGACAGCUGAACACAAAGAGCUUGCUCAAGUUUUGCUGCAUGGUGGAGGAAGGAUUAUCCUGGGAUGGUUUCUCCAUUAUUUUCCUUUCUUCAUGAUGGGCAGAGUGCUCUAUUUCCAUCAUUACUUCCCUGCAAUGCUUUUCUCCAUCAUGUUGACAGGGAUUACGUGGGAUGUAUUCCUGAAAUUCUGUGCUUGGUUUUUUUCAACCAGCAUCCAAGCUAAAAAGAUUUAUAACUACGGGAUAGGAGUGUUGGUCAUGCUCAGUAUGUAUAGCACUCUAAGGCAUCUCUUAUGCCAUUUCAUCUUCUAUGUUCCUCAAGAAACCAGGGGAUCCUGCAUGAUCCAUGUGCCUAGAGAGUCUACAUAGAUGCAAUUAGAUCUAAGGCCAUUGCCAUUCUCUUGUCCCAAGUGGAAAUGAAGCAGGUUCCAGAAGUCCAUGAACAAUUCCAAGCUCCCACUGAAACCAACUUUUACCUCUUCCAUCCUCUAUCCUAUGGGAUGACAGGACCUCUGGCUUCUGAUCCCAGCAGCUCAAUGGCGGGCCUUAAAUGGCUGGAAACAUGGGAGUUUUAGAUCCAACUUUUUUUUAAAAAAAGAAAGGAAUAAAAUAGAAGAACAGAUGUGGUGAAACAUUUCUCUACCUUUGAUGAUUGCUAUGAAGAAUUUUCUCUUAAACAUUUCUGAGUGGAGACAGUGAACUAUUGAAGAAGGAGGCAGCAGUGUGGGAGAACUUCUGACAGAAAGGCUCAUUGCUCCAGUCAUUUGAGUCAGCUGCUACUUUAAAGUUUGAACAGUCCAAGCAAUAUUUAAACACUCAUGCUGUCUUAUCAAGACAAUAUACAGCAAUGUCAUAAUGUGUGAUUUUGAGGAUGCCUGUGUUUCAAAAAGAUGUAGAUUAUGCAAUCUGUCUCUAUUCAAGUGUGACAUGACACACAGGGAAUAUCAACUGUGUUUUUUAAAAAUGGUCUUUUGCAAAUGGGAUAGUUCAGAACCAAUAGUUUAUAGUGUUUUUAAAGGGAAGUUGUCUCUCUGUGUGUACACAUAUAUACCCUCAAGAGGCAUCUCUUUCUUGCUUUGAUCUUAAAUGAUUGGACUUAAAUGUUUCAGUUGGUUGAGGCAUUACAGGUUACUGUGCAUUCCUUUCUUCUAAGACAAAAGGCAACAAGUUAUUCCUAUUUUUGGAUAAUACUUCUGUCUCUGAGCACUAGCUACUACUUGCAGUUAAGAGAAUCUUACAACUACCAAGAAGAUUCAAAGAGUUAUUAAAUUAUAAAUUCCAGUCAUCACACCACUAUUCUGAGGAUUUUUUUAGUGGAGAGAUGUUAUGUUUUUGGUCUCCAGCUCUAAAUUCCUCUGAGAUGCCUUUUGAGCAAGGAAGGCCACAAAGCUGCAGAGAUUAUAUAAUAGCUUAGAGCAUUUGCUAGUGCUGGCAUUGAUCCGAUUUAUCCCAUCACCUAAGGGAAAGCUGACGUGAAUGAAUGUAGAUUGUGCAAAAUAAGUGGUAAUACUUUGGUAAAGGCAUAAUUCUUUUGAGAAGUCUUUUUCUCUUGCUAUAUUAAGCUAUCUGGAAAAAAGGGUUUUUAGUUUCAGAGUAGCUUGAUAAUAGAGCAAAACUCUUCAUAGAGGAGAGAGUUUUUGUGAUUGCAUGUGGAAACUCUGAAAAACAAUCUGACUAAAAAACAUUUCAGUGUGCAAUGCACCACAAUUUUUUCGAAUGAAUUUGGCUCCAGCUCUCGUUACAUUGAUCACCUAUGUCCAGAUUGCUGAGAUAUUGCAGUAAUUCAUUUUAGCAUGUGCAUGAAACUUUGAAGCCUCCCAAAUUAUAUUCUCCAUGCCAUCCUUCAUUAAUUGGCUAUCUUGGUUGGCAUGGAGACUGCUUAUAUCCCCAUGAUAUGAUUAUGUUGAGUAAAAUUUAGUCCCAAUUCAAAAAAAGAAAGGAAAUACAACUGUGCUUAUUAGUCUGGCUUAAUCUAAUACUAUUGUCACAAUGUGCUUGUGAUGGGUUUCAAUUUUUAUCAUUUGCAGCCUUCCCAAAUCUGACAGCCUCCAAAUACACUGGGAUUUCAACUGGGAUUGCAUAAACACAGCCAAGCUCUAUAAUGUCUGGGUUCAAUGCAUAUUAUAGUCUUGGAUCAACUGGAAAGCAACAAGUUGAGGAAGGCUACUUUGCAUAAUGACAAAAAGUCACAGGUUUCUUUUGUGUCUUGAGUAUUAUAGGAAAUCAUUGCAAUAGAUGGUAUAUUUUCUAUGGCAAGAGUCCAUCUUUUAUUUGGUAAUGAGAGACUUAGUGAUAUGCAGGAAUAAAACAGAAAAAUAGAAAUAAUAGGUAGACAUGACUGUGCUUUGAAUUUGCUGUUUCUUCUAUCAGCAGAUGGAGCAAAACAGGAAGACUUCAUGACAUUGGUAGCAAUUCAAUGGGUUAUAGGUAGAUAAUUUGAUAGCAACAGUUGUUAUAAAUUCUUGACCAUUUUCUAUUAUGUGCUCAAGUGUUACUCUUGAUUAGAUUUCUAAAUCAGGUUCCCAUAAAAUGGUUCUGAACUAUUCAUGUUUUAUAGUAUAUAUGCUCACAUGAUUAGAAUGUACUUGGCUUUUUAAAGGAGGGCAAUCUUUUUUAUCAAUUAAAAUUAUAUUAUACAAAAUGGCAUUUUAACAAUUUAAUUUAGAAUUUCAGCAAGGCUGCUGGACUCUUUUCUUCUGGAUUCUGCAGUACUCCAGUGGAUAAUCGUUCAGUGUAGCUUUGCCUGAUGUUCUGAGAAAUCUGAUCAUUCAGCACAUACGUGCUAUGGCUAAAAGGCAGUACUGCAUAGAACAUUUUUUUGAACAUGUAUAAAGUAGUUCUUUUUGAAUUUGAUGCAAUAAGACUAGUUUUCCAUUGCGCAAAAAGAAAUAUCCGAUCUGACAUUAAUUGCUGUCAUUCACAGCAUAAUGUCAAUAAAUCCAAUAUUGCAGGUUAGCACUGGGUGACCUCUUGCCUGUAUGAAGAUUAUCCCCCUUAGCUCUUCUACCAUUACACUGCAAACAUUUGGUUUCUGUGGGAAAGAGUAAUUCUAAGUGAAUGUGCCUUAGCUCAGUAUUUUGUACUUGGGAUGCAUUAAUACAUGUUUAUGUUCCUCCUGUAGCGUGCCUUUCCACACAUCUGUUAUUGGCCCUCUUGUAUUUGGAAAUCUUACCUUAAUUGGUUUUUUUCUUUUACCGCAUAUAAUUAACUAGCUUCAUUCAUUGUUUUGAAGCCUUUUUCUUUAGAACUCUUGAAAUAUUGUACUAAAAGAAGUAUGCAGAUCAAAGAAUGAGUUGGCUGCAAAAUCUCCUUUGAAGUAGGCCAUUGAGAUUUUGCAAAAUAUUUCUAUUAUUUCAUAGUAUUCAAUUUCAUUGCUCUUCACAAUGUUUGGAUCAUUCACUUUCCUAAAACCAUAUGACUCCUACUGUUGUUUCUCUUCUUCCCAUUUGUGGUCUUAAUGGAACAUAGACCAUUUUAUCAUGAUUAAAGGCAUGACUACAUAAAACUUUUUGUUUUGAGUCCUUGUUUUUCCACAUUAGGAUUGGACUGCAGUUAUGACACCACAAUGGGAUAAAGAAGGCGAAGUCAGCAAUGCUGUACAUUCUCAUUGGGGGUCAUUACGGCAGUGCAAUAGCCUCUCUGGAUAGCAAUUUUUUUUUUUAAAAAAAAAGGUUUUUAUUCCUAUGGUUAUUGUUUAAGAAAUUCAUGCCUGAAAAAAAUCACGUGAUUGAUAGGAGCCCUGAUGCCUUUCUUUAUACAAUCUUUAUUAAAAUAAUGUCAACUCUGAAGUUACAAAACAGUGAAUAAGCUUUUGAUUUCUCUAUUUAAAAUGUACACAAGAAGGAAAGAGGGAAGAAAUAGAUGCCAUUGAAAGCAUAAUCUUAACAUGGAGUGUGGGAGGAGAUUGUGCUUAUUCAAAUGAGUCUCUUCCACUUACUGAAAUGGUUUUAAGAUUUGCAGUCAGACUCUCUGGUUUCAAUAAGAAAUAAACAAUGGUCAAUCCCCCAUUUAAGAAAAAAAAAUAGCUAUUAUUUCACACUCUCUGCCCUUAGGUAAAACUCACUCUCCUACAUUAUGAAUUUCCUUAUUGAUGCUGCUAAUAUUGAAGUUGUUAGUGUGCUUGGUUGUAAUUUGCAUAUGAUUACUGCCUGUAUGUUUAAGUUACUACAUGUCAUUGCUCUUCAGUGUACAUGGUCCUAAUAUAAGAAAGCUGCCUUUGAAUUGGCACUGUUUUUUUUAAAGAGGGUUAAUUGAUAAAAAGAUUACCUUUUAAUUUUUUUAAUAAAUACUUUUUUUGUCUCAAA